rnacentral:rRNA from 1 species
UACGUAGGGGGCAAGCGUUGUCCGGAAUCAUUGGGCGUAAAGAGCGCGUAGGCGGCCCUGUAAGUCCGCUGUGAAAGUCAAGGGCUCAACCCUUGAAUGCCGGUGGAUACUGCAGGGCUAGAGUCCGGAAGAGGCGAGUGGAAUUCCUGGUGUAGCGGUGAAAUGCGCAGAUAUCAGGAGGAACACCGAUGGCGAAGGCAGCUCGCUGGGACGGUACUGACGCUAAGGCGCGAAAGCGUGGGGAGCAAACAGG